UCCUUCGUAGCUCAAUGGCAGAGCGUCCCGCUGUUAACGGGGUGGUUGGUGGUUCGAGUCCAUCCGUGGGAGC
rnacentral:tRNA from 1 species